UGGCCGAAAGGCUGAGGGAGCGACGCCGCGUGCAGGAAGAAUCCCUUCGGGGUGUAAACUGCUUUUCUUCAAGAACAACUCUGAGUGUACUGAAGGAAUAAGGGCUGCUAACUUCGUGCCAGCAGCAGCGGUAAUACGAAGGCCCCGAGCGUUAUCCGGAUUUAUUGGGCGUAAAGCGUUAAUAGGCGGUUCGGUAAGUAUCUGGUUAAAUCUCAUGGCCCAACCAUGAGGCUGCCGGAUAAACUGCCGGACUUGAGGUCGGAAGAGGCAAGCGGAACUACCGGUGUAGUGGUAAAAUGCGUUAAUAUCGGUAGGAACACCAAAGGCGAAGGCAGCUUGCUGGUACGAACCUGACGCUAAAUAACGAAAGCGUGGGGAGCGAAUGGGAUUAGAUACCCCAGUAGUCCACGCCGUAAACGAUGGAUGCUAGGGAUUGGGAGUUUCGACCCUCUCAGUCUCGUUCAAGCUAACGCGUUAAGCAUCCCGCCUGGGAAGUACGGCCGCAAGGCUA
rnacentral:rRNA from 1 species